rnacentral:rRNA from 1 species
GACGAACGCUGGCGGCGUGCUUAACACAUGCAAGUCGAACGGAAAGGCCCCUUUGGGGGUACUCGAGUGGCGAACGGGUGCGUAACACGUGAGUAACCUGCCCUUGACUUCGGGAUAACUUCAGGAAACUGGGGCUAAUACCGGAUAGGAAUCCUUGCUGCAUGGUGGGGGUUGGAAAGCUUCGGCGGUUUUGGAUGGACUGGCGGCUUAUCAGCUUGUUGGUGGGGUAGUGGCUUACCAAGGCUUUGACGGGUAGCCGGCCUGAGAGGGCGACCGGCCACAUUGGGACUGAGAUGCGGCCCAGACUCCUACGGGAGGCAGCAGUGGGGAAUAUUGCACAAGGGGCGGAAGCCUGAUGCAGCAACGCCGCGGGCGGGAUGACGGCCUUCGGGUUGUAAACCGCUUUCAGCAGGGGCGAAGCUUGUGGUGACGGUACCUGCAGAAGAAGCACCGGCUAACUACGUG